rnacentral:rRNA from 1 species
GUCUACGGCUGUGCCACCCUGAACACGCCCAAUCCCAUCUGAUCUUGGAAGCUAAGCAGGGUCGGGCCUGGUUAGUGCUUGGAUGGGAGACCACCUAGAAAGACCAGGUGCUGUAGGUG